CUCCGUCAAAUACCAGCGCCGCACGGAAGCGAUCCAGUCGCUCAGUGGUUAUAACAGGGGGCAGGAAGAGUAUUUCGGCGUAUAAGAGAAACCUGAACAUUAAAAUGAGCAAUAAAUAAUGAACUAUUUCUUUGCUGUGGUUGUCGCACAGCUACCAUCUUGCAGAGAGAAGCUAGAGGAGCUAUCUAACAGCCGAGCUUCUGGCAUCGGUUGCUUUCACGUCUGCAGCCACAGCCAUGGUGUUAACGGCCCUCAAGCUGUAUUUUGUUGGAACGGCUCUUACUGUCCUUGCUGUCCUUUAUGAAAUAGCGGACUCCUGUGGCGGUCUCAUGUACGCGCAGAACCAUCAUCUGCAGGACGUGGAGCAUCGACAGCGGUCUGCGAACAACCAACAAUGACGAAUGUCUGUGACUGAGAACAUGACAUUUUCAUGAUGGCUCAUUGGAAAAUGUCAGAGGUUUUUUUUUCAUUAGGCACAUUCGCAAAGAAAGGACACGAUGGUGAUGAUGAAUGUGUUUGUUCUUGUUUGGAACCUACUAUCUGAUCCCCCAAAACCUGUAGCAACUAGUCACUGCUGAAUGCUACUUGCACUGAAUGUUUGACGGUUUUUUAUUUUUAAAGAGUUAAAAUGUCGACUGUUCUCUGGAAAGAAGUCCUUGUCAAAACAAUGCCCCUGGACACUUUUUGGGCACUUAUUUUGCAUUAUAUAAAUUCCCAUUUAUUCAGUGGUCCUUCUUGAUAUAAAAUUUGCAUGUAUAAAGUCACUAAUCAAA